rnacentral:rRNA from 1 species
UACGGAGGGUGCAAGCGUUAGUCGGAAUUACUGGGCGUAAAGGGCGCGUAGGCGGAUAUAUAAGUCAGAUGUGAAAUUUCGGUGCUCAACAUCGAAGCGGCAUCUGAAACUGUAUAUCUGGAGGGAGUGAGGAGAAAGCGGAAUUCCAUGUGUAGCGGUGAAAUGCGUAGAUAUAUGGAAGAACACCUGUGGCGAAAGCGGCUUUCUAUCAUACCCCUGACGCUGAGGCGCGAAAGUAAGGGGAU